rnacentral:rRNA from 1 species
UACGUAGGGGGCGAGCGUUGUCCGGAGUUACUGGGCGUAAAGCGCUUGUAGGCGGUCCACCAAGUUUGGGGUGACAGUUGCCGACUUAAUCGGCAAAGUGCCUCAAAGACUGGGCGGACUUGGAGGCCACAGGAGGACAUGGAACUCCAGGUGUAGUGGUGAAAUGCGUAGAUAUCUGGAAGAACACCAAAGGCGAAGGCAGUGUCCUGGGUGGUCGCUGACGCUGAGGAGGCGAAAGCCAGGGGAGCGAACGG